rnacentral:rRNA from 1 species
GAUGAACGCUGGCGGCGUGCCUAAUACUUGCAAGUCGAGCGAACGGACGAGAAGCUUGCUUCUCUGAUGUUAGCGGCGGACGGGUGAGUAACACGUGGAUAACCUACCUAUAAGACUGGGAUAACUUCGGGAAACCGGAGCUAAUACCGGAUAAUAUUUUGAACCGCAUGGUUCAAAAGUGAAAGACGGUCUUGCUGUCACUUAUAGAUGGAUCCGCGCUGCAUUAGCUAGUUGGUAAGGUAACGGCUUACCAAGGCAACGAUGCAUAGCCGACCUGAGAGGGUGAUCGGCCACACUGGAACUGAGACACGGUCCAGACUCCUACGGGAGGCAGCAGUAGGGAAUCUUCCGCAAUGGGCGAAAGCCUGACGGAUCAACGCCGCGUGAGUGAUGAAGGUCUUCGGAUCGUAAAACUCUGUUAUUAGGGAAGAACAUAUGUGUAAGUAACUGUGCACAUCUUGACGGUACCUAAUCAGAAAGCCACGGCUAACUACGUG